UACGAAGGGGGCUAGCGUUGCUCGGAAUCACUGGGCGUAAAGCGCACGUAGGCGGAUCUUUAAGUCAGGGGUGAAAUCCCAAGGCUCAACCUUGGAACUGCCUUUGAUACUGGGGAUCUCGAGUCCGGAAGAGGUGAGUGGAACUGCGAGUGUAGAGGUGAAAUUCGUAGAUAUUCGCAAGACACCAGUGGCGAAGGCGGCUCACUGGUCCGGGUACUGACCGCUGAGGUGCGAAAGCGUGGGGAGCAAACAGG
rnacentral:rRNA from 1 species